GGGUCAUGUAUGAAAAAUGUGUGUGUAUUAUGUGGGUGGAUAUAUCAACAAAGCUCCCCGACACCUUUUCAAACCCCUACGUGGUCCUCCACAAUGACCUCCCUCACUUUCACCCUGCAUACACACUUUUAUCCCCUAUACACACCUUCCAUAUACACAGUUACCCCACAUACACAGUCACCCCCAUACACAGUUACCCCUGUACACACAGUCACCUCCCCAUAUACACAGUUACCCCACAUACACAGUUACCCCUGUACACACAGUCACCUCCCCAUAUACACAGUCACCCCCAUACACA